AGUGGGAUGGCUGGGUCAUAUUGUGGUUCCAUUCCUAGUUUUUUGAGGAAUGUCCAUGUUGCUUUCCAGAACAGUUGCACUAAUUUGCAGUCCCACUAAUAAU
rnacentral:pre_miRNA from 1 species